ACGGGGCCCGCACAAGCGGUGGAGUAUUGUGGUUUAAUUCGACGCAACGCGCAGAACCUUACCUUGGUCUUGACAUCCCGGGAAUCUUGUGGAAACACGAGAGUGCCUCGCAAGAGGAGCCUGGAGACAGGUGCUGCAUGGCUGUCGUCAGCUCGUGUCGUGAGAUGUUCGGUUAAGUCCGCUAACGAGCGCAACCCUCGCUGUGUGUUACAAGUGUCACACGGUACUGCCGGUCUUAAGCCGGAGGAAGGUGGGGAUGACGUCAAGUCAGCAUGGCCUUUAUGUCCUGGGCUACACACACGCUACAAUGGCCAACACAAUAGGUUGCUAAGCCGCGAGGUGGAGCCAAUCCUCAAAGUUGGUCUCAGUUCAGAUUGCAGGCUGCAACCCGCCUGCAUGAAGAUGGAGUUGCUAGUAACCGCAGGUCAGCUAUACUGCGGUGAAUACGUUCCCGGGGCUU
rnacentral:rRNA from 1 species